rnacentral:rRNA from 1 species
GACGAACGCUGGCGGCGUGCCUAAUACAUGCCAGUCGAGCGGACGAAUCGAAAGCUUGCUUUUGAUUCGUUAGCGGCGGACGGGUGAGUAACACGUGGGCAACCUGCCCUGUAGACGGGGAUAACACCGAGAAAUCGGUGCUAAUACCGGAUAACACGAAAUGUCGCAUGACGUUUCGUUGAAAGACGGCGCAAGCUGUCGCUACAGGAUGGGCCCGCGGCGCAUUAGCUAGUUGGUGAGGUAACGGCUCACCAAGGCGACGAUGCGUAGCCGACCUGAGAGGGUGAUCGGCCACACUGGGACUGAGACACGGCCCAGACUCCUACGGGAGGCAGCAGUAGGGAAUCUUCCGCAAUGGACGAAAGUCUGACGGAGCAACGCCGCGUGAGCGAAGAAGGCCUUCGGGUCGUAAAGCUCUGCUGUUAGGGAAGAACAAGUAACGCAGUAACUGGCGUUACCGUGACGGUACCUAACGAGAAAGCCACGGCUAACUACGUG